CUCUCCGACCCCUGGCUUCACAAGCAACGACGGAGAAGCCAGGUACCCUUUCAGCUCUUCGAAGACCCGUCGGCACUCAUCCGACCAAGAGAAGCCCUUCGCCUGCCUCAGCAUUUUGAAGAAUGGGAGGCAUCUUUUGGCCGACCGAGAGAUGAAUCGACUGAGAGCAAUGAUCUUUCUAUUCAGCUGCUGGACCUCCUUCUUGAU
rnacentral:lncRNA from 1 species